UCGGGAAUUUUGGGCAAUGGGCGAAAGCCUGACCCAGCAACGCCGCGUGAAGGAUGAAGUAUUUCGGUAUGUAAACUUCGAAAGAAUAGGAAGAAUAAAUGACGGUACUAUUUAUAAGGUCCGGCUAACUACGUGCCAGCAGCCGCGGUAAUACGUAGGGACCAAGCGUUGUUCGGAUUUACUGGGCGUAAAGGGCGCGUAGGCGGCAAUUCAAGUCAUCUGUGAAAUCUCCGGGCUUAACUCGGAACGGUCAGAUGAUACUGCUUUGCUAGAGUGCAGAAGGGGCAAUCGGAAUUCUUGGUGUAGCGGUGAAAUGCGUAGAUAUCAAGAGGAACACCUGAGGUGAAGACGGGUUGCUGGGCUGACACUGACGCUGAGGCGCGAAAGCUAGGGUAGCAAACGGGAUUAGAUACCCUAGUAGUCCCUGAGCGGGCUGGCAAGGCGCAU
rnacentral:rRNA from 1 species